rnacentral:lncRNA from 1 species
UGACACUUUGAUUUUGGCCCCAGUGAGCCUCGUGUUGGACUCCUGGACUACGGAGCUGUAAGAUAAUAAAUGUGUGCUGUUUUAAGCCAGUAGCUUUGUGGUAAUUGGUUACAGCAGGCAUGGGAAAGCAGUGCAGGGUGUGUGAGCUGAACCCUUGAAGACGGGGUUCUCCACUACGUCCCCAGUGUGGAGCACAAGCUGGCUCUAUGCCCGGUGCUCGGAAGCAUUUUCAGAAUGAACAGGACUGACUGAGAUGAAGCCGCAGACAUCUGCUCUCUCCAGGCCCCUAUCUGGCUGUGUGACCAUAGAGGGUGAUAUAAUGUGUGUAAAUGCAGAUUCAGCUUCGAGGAAACUUUCGUCUAAUAAUGAACUGAACCACAUUAUGGCAUGCUAUCUCCAAGCCUACUCAGUGUAAAGACGAUGAGGAUGAAG